rnacentral:tRNA from 3 species
GCCUCCAUAGCUCAGUUGGUAGAGCCACUGAUUUGUAAUCAGUAGGUCGGCGGUUCAAGUCCGUCUGGAGGCU